rnacentral:rRNA from 1 species
UACGAAGGGUGCAAGCGUUAAUCGGAAUUACUGGGCGUAAAGGGUGCGUAGGCGGUUUUUUAAGUCUGCCGUGAAAUCCCCGGGCUCAACCUGGGAAUGGCGGUGGAUACUGGAUAGCUAGAGUGUGUCAGAGGAUGGUGGAAUUCCCGGUGUAGCGGUGAAAUGCGUAGAGAUCGGGAGGAACAUCAGUGGCGAAGGCGGCCAUCUGGGACAACACUGACACUCAGGGACGAAAGCUAGGGGAGCGAAUGGG